AGCUUUGCGCAGUGGCAGUAUCGUAGCCAAUGAGGUUUAUCCGAGGCGCGAUUAUUGCUAAUUGAAAACUUUUCCCUAAAACUCCUUCUGUGAUAUCUGAAGCUACCCAGCUGUCCAAACCAUGAAGCAAGCAGAUGAUGAGUAGAAAAGUCAAUUUCUAAUCUUUCACUCAGUUAAAUAAAUGAA
rnacentral:snRNA from 1 species